GGGGGGCCCGCCGCUGUCGUCCGUAGCAGACACUCGUGAUGAAUUGGGUUUCGGCUCUGUCGUGGACACUGCCAACAUACAGGUUUCUCAGUUUUGGGUACAGACAAAAGAGGCUCAGUGUGCCUUGGUGCUGACGACCAACACUUUGUCGAUUUCUGGUGCAUAUGAGACGCACAGAGCGGGCGGCCACCCUUCUCAUUACCCGCGCUGGUCCGAUUUCGUUUGCAAUAAGCACAGCAACUUCUUAUCUUAGUUUCCAGGUCUCUGUGAGAAAUGAUGGGUUCCAAUGCUGUCGGAAAAUGCAACCAGCACAUGCCUCACAGGUGGCUGCAAGAUACAGGCUCCUUGACAAACGGGGAGAGAUCGUGGGGUCUUAGAAAAACAGGUGAGUGCAUCGACAGGCAGGAUAUGUUUUUACUUAUCCUGUUCCCAGUGACUAACCGGGGUGGUUAUGACGUUAUACUCUUCCUCUACAUGGCACAGUUUGGUGGCGAAAACUGUGGCGUUCUACUGAUCCACACCGGGAACUAUCUUGCCAGAGUCUAUGAGGCACCGAGCAUGUGAGGCAGAUGUUUGGCUGUGUUACGUGUUGCGCUAAAACAUUGCGGUCACGCCACUGCUCAAAAAGGAGAGCACACUGCCUCUUUUUGCUGGCUGGUAGUGUCUUACAGAAGCAGUCAACGCCUCUGACAGAGUUGCAACGCACUGCGGACGACUACAACGGAUCUUGAGUUCAACCUUGACCAUGCAGUUGGGCGACAUCUUCCAGGCCCAGUGAACAAACAAGGAGGUCACCCCUCUGCUGAUCGUAGCGCGUUGUGUUGAGCUGCUUUUCGGGUAGUGCCGCAUCUGACUCAUGAAAGACACGUAAACUACAAUGUAGUGCGACCUACCGGGGAACGGUCCCCGUUAAAUAUCUGACUCCACAAAUGUUGGUGUCGUCCACAGGAGAACACGCUGUUGCUCGUGAGGAGUUUGGCGUCUCACGCAUUGACUUGCAUCUCCGAGACCGGCACGGGGAAGCGUGAUUAAAAGGAGGAAUGAACGUUGUUUAUAUGCUUUCGACAGUGGUGAAACAGAUAUUAAUCCCGCAGAAUUCGUGAACAGCACACAGCGAAACCAUUCGUCUCUCUCGCAACGUUUUAGGGUUUUGGUGUUCUGCGUCAUUUGGCCUGUGCCACCGGGCAUGAUGGUUGCCCCUGCGCUCGCACUGAGAU
rnacentral:lncRNA from 1 species